rnacentral:sRNA from 1 species
UUGGACGCCAACUCUUUCUUUCCCCAAGUCUUUCUUCCCGUAGACCACCAACUAUUUAUUUCUUCCCUCUCGCUCAUCUCUCCCUCUCUCUUUCUCGUGAACACCAAAUCUUGAACCCAAAUCCAACCACCAUGCGAAACGACGGGUCGCCAUGCGACUCUCGAAGCCGACGCGAAUCAAGUCCCAAAAUCAAGGAACUGUUAUACCUUAAGGAGGGAACACUUAUAGAAGGAACUGUCAGGAAAAACUAACAGAAGUGUAUAGAUGUCUCAGUUGAUCACUCGUCGUCGGAGUGUGACCAAUGCGCCUCCCGCAUUAUUAGCAUCUAUUGCUCUAGCCGUGAGUGCUCCAUUGAUUGGGGAGCCUACACCCCUUACUGAGGCUACUCCUACGGCGUCCCAGGUGCCUGUCUCAUCAACGUCAUCAGUGUCGGUUCAACCGUUCAAUGCACGGCGGCCUCACUGGUGCCCUCGCGAGCCGGAGCCUUCUGAUCAAACUUCCUCGGCAUCCAGAGUCGAGGUUAAAAAAAACACCAGGGGCCUAGUUGAAUGCUGAAGCAGGCACAGAACGCACAUCAGGCCGCCUCCAAGAUCAAGAUUGUGUAUGACUCGCAAUAUCGUGGAACGGCUACCUCACAGGAGCAUAGCAGCGUCGCUAGUAGCUGUGGUGUUGUUAUUCGACAAAAUUGUCCUUUUCAAUGGGAGUCUUGGGCAGAAAUUCCCGAGGAGAUGAAGAAACUGGUCAUUUAUGAUCUUCAGGACAUAUCCCCCGAGACCAUGGCCUACUUAGAGGAGAUCUUAGCAACCCGGUACAAACAUUGGAAGAACAAUUUUCACACGUAUUUUAAGUGAUGGGAUGAUCCGGAGAUUGCUCGCCUACAUGUUCCAAGCGAGUUGCAGGAUCGGUCGGAGGAUUGGGAGUGACUUUGCAAACAUUUUACGGACCCAAAAUUUGUGACGAAAUCUAUUGCUGGCAAGAAAGCUUGGGAGUCAAAGAAACUUCUCCACCAUUCCGGUUCUAAGCCCUUUUCGUAUAGGCUUAAGGCACGACGUUAGGAGGGUUCUAAGUUCCCAAAGAGCGACAUGUUCAAGGACGUUUACGUUCGACCUGGUAAUGAGACCACUGAGCAGCUUCAUUUGCUAUGGUGGAAAAAAGCACUGCUGUUCUCCAAGAAGCAACAUUGCAGCUUCCCCUGGAGACCCCGAUUGAGGACGUCACGGUACCCGAGGAUGUAGGUUUCAAAUCAUGACUAAUGUCCUGGAUCAUAACUUUGGUUGUCGUCAUGGCAAGGUUGUUCCAUGUAUGGGGAAAGUGCGGGUUCGUGAGACGGGUGCCUCUUCUUCCAGAUCGAACACAGCAGAAGUUGAUGCAUUGAAGGAGGAAGUGACAACCCUAAAAGGUCAGUUUGCAGCCCAGGGCGAGGAGAUGAGGGCCUAUGCCGGGAUGGUGAGAGACCUUGUACGAGCCAUACAGAUGUCCGGCCUCCAAAUCUCGCUACCAGCAAUUCAUCUUGCUCCACAUUCGAUCUCAGAGCCAUCUCGCCCUACUGAUACCCAGUAGCCUAAUGUAUCAAACCUAGAAGACUACUUGUAGUUUUUUCUUUUUUGUUCGGACAUCUUGUAUGUACAUUUUCAUAUAUUUUAU